CCUACGGGAGGCAGCAGUAGGGAAUUUUCCACAAUGGGCGAAAGCCUGAUGGAGCAAUACCGCGUGCAGGAUGAAGGCCUUCGGGUCGUAAACUGCUUUUAUGUGCGAAGAAUUUGACGGUAACACAUGAAUAAGGAUCGGCUAACUACGUGCCAGCAGCCGCGGUCAUACGUAGGAUCCAAGCGUUAUCCGGAAUUACUGGGCGUAAAGAGUUGCGUAGGUGGCAUUAUAAGUGGAGCGUGAAAGCGUGCGGCUCAACCGCAUUAUUGCGUUCCAAACUGUGAAGCUUGAGUAUGGGAGAGGUAGAUGGAAUUUCUAGUGUAGGAGUGAAAUCCGUAGAUAUUAGAAGGAACACCGAUGGCGUAGGCAGUCUACUGGCCCAUUACUGACACUAAGGCACGAAAGCGUGGGGAGCAAACGGGAUUAGAUACCCCGGUAGUCCACGCUGUAAACUAUGGAUGCUAGCUGUGACACACAUCGACCUGUGUCGUAGCGUAAGUUAACGCGUUAAGCACUCCGCCGUCGGGAGGUACGGUCGACGAGAAGUUAAACGUAACAANAGUAAGUUAGACGGCGUGAGACGUACGCCGACGGACGACGACGAGGGAGGUUAGG
rnacentral:rRNA from 1 species